rnacentral:lncRNA from 1 species
CAGUGGGGACAUUGGGAUUAUGGGGUCAGUGGGGGCAUUAGGGCCAAUGGGGGUAAUGGGGACGUUGGGGUCAGUGGGGUCAAUGGGGUCAGUGGGGACAGUGGGAUUAGUGGGGGCAAUGGGGUCAAUAGGAUCAAUGGGGUCAAUAGGAUCAAUGGGGUCAAUGGGGUGAAUGGGGUCAGUGGGGGGUCUGUGGGGUCAAUGGGAUCAAUGGGGUCGGUGGGAUCAGUGGGGGCAAUGGGGUCAAUGGGGUCAAUGGGANNGGGAUCAGUGGUGUCAAUGGGAUCAGUGGUGUCAAUGGGGUCAGUGGGGUCAAUGGGGUCAAUGGGGUCAAUGGGGUCAAUGGGGUCAAUGGGAUCAAUGGGGUCGGUGGGAUCAGUGGGGUCAAUGAGGUUUUGGGGUCAGUGGGAUCAGUGGGGGCAAUGGGGUCAAUGGGAUUAAUGGGAUCAAUGGGAUCAAUGGGGUCAAUGGGGUCAAUGGGAUCAAUGGGGUCAGUGGGGAACAUCAAUGGGGUAAUAAGGGAUCAAUGGGGUCAAUGGGGUCAAAUGGGGUCAAUGGGAUCAAUGGGGUCAGUGGGGAACAUCAAUGGGGUAAUAAGGGAUCAAUGGGGUCAAUGGGGUCAAUCGGGUCAAUGGGGAAAAUGGGAUCAAUGGGGUCAAUGGGGUCAAUGGGGUCAAUGGGGUCAAAUGGGGUCAAUGGGGUCAAUGGGGUGAAUGUGGACAUCAAUGGGGACAUCAGUGGGGUCAUUGGGGCCAAUGGGGGCUUUGGGGUCGAUGUGGGGGCGGGGUGGUGACCUCUGACCUUUGACCCCUGCCCAGAGACCCCAUGGGGCCGCAUUUAUGGCCGCCGUCGCCGCGGUGCCGCUGCCCCCGCUGUCCCCCCACGGCCCCACACAGUGGUUCACCGGCGCCGAGUGGCACCGCGAUUUUGGGCUCUUCCUGACCCGCUCCGAUGGCUCCAUGUGGGUCUGCCCAUCCUGGGGGCGUGGAGACCCCCAGAGCCAACGCUGGUACCGAAGGAAGGUCUCCCAGCAGGGGGCGCUGUUGGGCCGUUUGGGGGCAGCGCUGGUGACGUCAUCGCGGGACGGGAACGUCCGUGUGUGGCACCCGAGGGGCGGGGCUCCGCUCUCCCAUUACCGUUGCUCCGCCCCCAUCACCGCCAUGGCGCCGAGGCCACGCCCCUCGCCCAACGCCGCGCCCGGAUUGGCUGUGGGCGACGAAGGGGGGCGGGUCUACAUCCUGCGCUGGGACACGCCCCCCGCCUGAAGCCACGCCCCCUCUGGGAUCCAAGCCACGCCUCCUUUCUCUGCCCCCCCCAAUCGGCGUCCAAUAAAGAGCUUUGGCUCCGCCUCCCUGCCGUGACG